rnacentral:rRNA from 1 species
GAGAAAUAUCUUUAAUUUUAGUAUAAAUAAAGAACGAAAUUUUUAUUGUUAUAGUAUAUUAGUACUGUGAAGGAAUAUUGAUGAAAUAUAGUGAAAAUAUAGGUUUAUAAAAGUAGAUUUUAUUUGUUGUACCUUUUGUAUCAGGGUUAAUUAAAUAUAAUUAAUUUAUUUUAUGUUCUCGAUUUCAAAAGAGCUAACUUUAAAUUAUUGUUGUUGUGAUAUAACCAUAUUUAAUUUAAUUUUAGGGGAAAUAUUCCAUUCGAUUUUGAAGGUAUCUAGUUUUUUAAGAAGUAAAUUUAAUUUAGGCUUGAUUUAUUAAUUAAUUUAUUUGUUAAUUAUUUAUUAAUUAAGGUUAAUAUAUUAGGGGAUAAGCUCUAAUAUUAUUCUAAAAAUUUUAUUUUAUUUAAUUUUUGUAGGCUUUAGAUCAGCUAUCAUUAAUGAGUUCGUUGUAGUUCAAGUAAAUAAUAUUAUGAUUUUCUUUAUUUUAGUAUUUUAUUAAAAUGAUAUUUUUAAUUUUAUAAAAUUUGUAAUAAUGAUUAAAUUAGUAUAUCUCUAUUGUAUAUCAUUUAUUUUUUGAUAUAAUUAAAUAAGGAAUUCGGCAAAUUUAACACUCGCCUGUUUAUCAAAAACAUGUCCUCUUGCUUAUAUAUGAGGUCUGACCUGCCCGGUGAAAAUUAACUUUAACGGCCGCAGUAUUUUGACUGUGCAAAGGUAGCAUAAUCAUUAGUCUUUUAAUAGGAGGCUGGUAUGAAGGGUUUGACGAGGUGUUGACUGUCUCAUUUAAUUUGUAUUUAGAAUUUAACUUUUCAGUCAAAAGGCUGAAAUUAUAUUGGAAGACGAGAAGACCCUAUAGAGCUUUAUAAUUGAAUUUUUAAUUAUUUUUUGUUUAUCAUUUUUUAUUAUUACUUUAAUUAUUUUGUUGGGGUGACAAAAAUAUAUAAUUAACUUUUUUAUUUAUUUAACAUUGAUUUAUGAAUAUUAGAUCCAUUAUUAUUGAUUGUUAGAUUAAGUUACCUUAGGGAUAACAGCGUAAUCUUCCUU